GACUUUCUUUUCGCCAAUCUGCUUCCUGUUUGAAAAUCUGAAAGUCCCUCUCCUGUUAUCCCUCGGCCCUCCAGCAUCAACCGCCUACAGCCGUCCCAAGCUCGACGGUCACAACCCUCAUCUCGGCCGCCGCCGCCCCGGCCCCGGCCCCCGCCCAAGGUCAGCAUCGACCGAAACUCAAGGUUGCUGUCGAGUAGCUCAGACCACAGGCGCUUCCGCCGUGCCGUCGUCGUCUGUGCCGCCCCCCUUAGCGCUCGCACCCCCACGCUCGGACUCUGGCAGUGCUCGCCUCAGUCCCCGCCCGGUCCACCCCGUCGGCAUCCUCUUCUGGUGGCCCUAAUUUAUGCUCGUGAAGCAUGGAGCAGAGACUGGCGAAUACAUGGAGAAUGACCGUUAACGAGAAGAAAUUCAUAGAAAGCGCUUUGCUUUCUGGUCUGAGAGUCGAUGGUCGGAACGUCUACGACUAUCGCAAGCUAAGCAUUAACUUUGGCAAAGAAGAUGGCUCGGCAGAGGUGCAUCUGGGUCAGACGCGUGUAAUGGGAUUUGUGACUUCUCAACUAGUUCAACCAUAUAGAGAUAGGCCUAACGAAGGGUCCCUUUCAAUAUUUACCGAGUUCUCUCCGAUGGCCGAUCCCUCGUUUGAACCUGGUCGUCCUGGGGAGUUCGCAGUUGAGUUAGGCAGGGUGAUAGACCGUGGUUUAAGGGAAAGCAGGGCCGUGGAUACAGAAUCUCUUUGCAUUCUUGCUGGGAAGUUGGUAUGGGCCAUCCGUAUUGAUAUCCAUAUCUUAGAUAAUGGAGGUAAUCUGGUCGAUGCUGCUAAUGUUGCUGCUUUGGCUGCUCUGUUAACAUUCCGUCGGCCUGAAUGCUCAUUAGGUGGAGAAAAUGGUCAAGAAGUAAUAGUUCAUCCACCAGAGGCUAGGGAGCCACUACCUCUUAUAAUUCAUCAUUUACCUAUAGCAGUCACCUUCGCAUUUUUCAGUGACGAAAGCACUCUGGUGGUAGAUCCUACCCACCAGGAGGAAGCAGUUAUGGCUGGUAGAAUGACAGCUACUCUGAAUACAAAUGGUGAUAUUUGUGCUAUCCAGAAAGCGGGAGGAGAAGGUGUUCCUCAGAGUGUAAUAAUGCAUUGCCUACGGAUUGCUGCUACAAAAGCUGCUGAUAUAACAGUGAAGAUACGAGACACUGUAGAGGCAUACAAUACUGAAAGAGCUCUGCGGAAGAUAAAGCGCCACUCAGCUCCUGUUGCCUUGGAUGUUAGUGGGACUGGUCCUAAUGUAAGGAAAAAUCAGGUCAAGUCUCAGGAUCAGAGGAAAGUCAGUGGGUCAGUGGGAUCUCAAGUGGACAAAUUGAAGCCAAGUAAUGAGAGAAACGAUUCUGAUCAGAGUAAUGACAUCGAAGGUAAAAUGGUCACAAAAUCAUUUGAACAAGGAGGAACUAACAGUAAAGAUGGCAAGCCUAGGAGUUUCAUUGGAGGUCCAUCAAGUUGGGAUCCUUACUCGAGGGGUGUUGACUCGGAUUUCCUGAAAUUAUCUCUUGCUUCACGUGAAACUUCAAAACCCUCUAAAAAGCAAAGAGACUUGCAAAAUGAGAAACCACCCCAACAGGGGGCCAGUCCAAAGGGAUCACCGGAAGAUAUAAAAGCAACAGCUCCAUCAACUGAGACAUCUAACAUUUCCACUCAAACCCAUGGGGAGAAAACGCUGAAGGAUGCUGUUAAGCCUAGACAUAAGAGGAAAAAGAAAGCACCCUCUGCAGUGGAUGGAACUUAGACACAUCAGCAGGUCAGAACAUUUACUGAAUAGUUUGUCUCUCAAAUUUGGAAUUGAAUCCUCCAUGAGGUCUGUUAAAUUAUAUUUUUGGAAACCCAGCUUUCCAGAGUGUUAGGUGAAAGUUGAGCUAGAAAGCAGAUCUGUGCUAUGAACAAGGAGGAGUACUAACUCUGAACGGGUUGUUGGCGGGCCUAAUUGAGGGCACAACAUAGUUAGAAGUUUAGCAUAGGUGAUCGUUUGUUUGAUAAUGUCUUGGUUUUGUUAUGUUUCUCAAUUCCUAGUUUAGUUGGACUUUGGGUGCCUACCUCUCAUAGGCACCUUAUAGCAGAAGCCCUCAGUGUAACAUAUAUGAAAUCUGAUAUUUAUUCCAUACAACCAUCAAAGUUAUUUCAA